UUCUGAAAGAUUAAAAAAAAGUUAAAGAAAGAGGCCACCCAACUGUAACCUAAACCCCAUAGGGAAUCUCUGGUUGUUUGGCCUUACAAAGAGGUUUCUUCCUCUGUAGAAGUCUCUCAGAGGACAACAAGAAGACCACUUUUCCUUGAACACCUCCAGCUCCAGCUCUUAUCUUCUCUCAGGAAGAACCAACUCAAUAAACCUUCAUUUCCUUCUCAUCUGUCAUGAUUUUCUGAUCUUUUAUUUGCAGAUGGUUCAAAGGAAGGAUCCCGACAAGCUUGGAAUCCUUGCUGAUUCCAAGAAUAAUAUUAAGUCUGAGAAGUGGUCACUGGCCCUUAAACCAUCUCCUCAGAAUCAGGAUGUCCAAGACAAGGGUGAAACAGAGUUGAAGAAGAAGAAACUGAAGAAGUCAAGAUCUAUCAAGCUCUUGGACUUGGAGAACUUAGAACCUCUUCCCACAAGACGGCCAAAGUCACGCUUCCACAAACUACCUGCCAAUGCAUCUAGUGCUGCUGUUACUCCACAAGCGCCAUUGGUGAUCAAGAUGCGAGAUCCCUCACCGAAUUAUAUGAAGCCUACAAGCAGUUCUCAUGCAAAGAAGGAGCGUUCACAGGUGAGUCCUCUUAGUUAUCAAGCUAGUAGUCCACGUAAGAGUCUGAGUCCUAACCCAAAUGGAAGAAAUUCCUCUCGCAUGAGCCUGAGUCCUGCUCCAAGUGGAAGGAAUGCCAACAGCCUGAGUCUUAGCCCGAGUGGAAGAAAUUCCUCUCGCAUGAGCCUGAGUCCUGCUCCAAGUGGAAGGAAUGCCAACAGCCUGAGUCUUAGCCCGAGUGGAAGAAAUUCCUCUCGCAUGAGCCUGAGUCCUGCUCCAAGUGGAAGGAAUGCCAACAGCCUGAGUCCUAGCCCGAGUGGAAGAAAUCCCUCUCGCAUGAGCCUGGGUCCUGUUCCAAGUGGAAGGAAUUCCUAUCACAACAGCUUAAGUCCUUGCCCCAGUGGAAGGAAUUCCAAUCGUAUGAGCUUGAGUCCUAGCCCAACCGGAAGGAAUUCCCAUGGCAAUAGCUUGAGUCAUAGCCCGAGUAGAAGGAAUUCCUAUCGUCCAAGCCUGAGUCCUACUCCAAGUGGAAGGAAUUCCCAUUGCAGCCCAAGUCCUAUCCCAAGCGGACGGAAUUCCCCUGGCAUCAACCCGAGUCCUAGCCUUAACAGAAGGAAUUCCGAUCAUUCAAAGCCUUGCUCUGCUUCCGCUCACAAGCCAAUAAAGACUUCAACAAAGACAUCUAGUUUGAAACCAGUGAGGACUCUGACAAAGACUCCUAGUUUCAAGGGUGGAGCAGAGUUGAAGAAGCAGAUUAAGAAAUCAGGGUCAAUCAAGCUCUUGGAUUUGGAGAGUUUAGAAUCAUCUCCAACGGAACAGACAAAGAUGGCUUUUGUUGUAUCAACUACCAAUGUAUCCAGUGCUGCCAUUUCUCCACAGAAACAAUUUCUGAUGAAGACACCAUAUCUGUUGCCCAAUUAUAUGAAGCCCACCAGCAGUUCUGAUGCAAGGAAGGAGUAUUUGCCGUUUAGUACCCAAGGUUCUCAAACUAAUUGUCCUAGCAAGAGUCCAAAUGAAAGCAAUCUGAUUCAUAUAAAACAUUCCUCCGCUUCUGUUCAUAAACCAGCAAGGACUCUGACGAAGACAUUUAGUUUGAAACCAGUAAGGACUUUAACAAAGACAUCUAGUUUGAAACUACCAAGGCCUUCAAUAAGGCAGAGCCCAGAUACUGCUCAAUGUUCCAGCCUGAAAGCUGGUAGGGCUACUUGUUCAUCCACUCUGAAGGAUUCAAAGUUCCCCGCCUUUCUGACACUUAAUCCAGGUGCAACUGAAUCAGAAGGAACUUCAACCAUGAAGGUCUGUCCUUAUACUUACUGUUCUCUUAAUGGCCAUCAUCAUACACCAUUGCCUCUGCUAAAGCAUUUCAUAUCAGCAAGGAGACAGGUAUUAAAAACACAGAAAAGCCUGAGACUGAAAAAUCUAUCUUCACUUGAAAAAACGACUGCUGAAGAAGGAAAAAAGAAAACUGAAUUGGAUCAGAUGGCCUUUAAUGAACAUCCUAUGGCACAAGUUGAUUUGCCUCCCUCAACAAUAUCUCAUGUGAUAAAGGAAGAUGUCAUAGAUUUCUUUGUAGAAAUUUAUGCUAAACCAAGGGAAGACACUGCCACGCCUAUUGGAAGAAGCAUUCAAGAUGGGGAUGAUGUAGCAACUAUUUUGGGCAGCAUCGCAUAUUCGGUCAUACAUGGCACAAAAAAUGAUACUGGGAAGGUUCAUGAGAGUAUGCCAGACGUGGAUUGGGAGAUUGUUGCCCCUCCAACUGAUACUGAGUCUGAUCUAAUGACUGUGUAUUUACCAGAGUCCAAGAGUCCAAGACUGCAGGAGGAGUUAGUCUUUGAGCCAGAUGACAUUGUCAACAACUCUGAAGAAUUUCCAGCAGGACAUGGACAGGAACAGGUCCACACAGAAAAUGCUGAAAGCUUUAGCAUGGAAUAUGGUGGUGAUGAUUCAGAGACAGAUACUGAUGAUCAGAGCCUCUGGCCAGGUGUAGCCACAAAUGUCGGUGAUGAAGGAACUGAUAUCUCUAACCUCCCAGAUGAGAACUUUUUGUCCUCCACUGAAGUUGCAUUUGAAGAGCCAGCAACAACCAUGGAAGAGCGAGAUGGAUCUCCCAAGCCAGACAAUACCUUCAACAGCAUGGCCCAUUCUGCAUCUGUUGAGGACCCAACAGCAUCCAUUGAUGAGAAGGAUGAAGAACCUCAACCAGAAAACUUUCUCCAAGAGCAUCCUAAGCCCAUCUCCAUCACUGAUGAGGUGAAUGAUACCCUUGAGAACAAACAGGAAAGCAGCUCUGUUGCACAUACCAGCAAUCUUGUAGGCACUGGCAUUGGAGGCGAUGAAGAAAAAAAACAAGCUGAAGAUUCUGUGGAAAAUGAUGAGCAUAGGGAAGAAUCCAGUCAUGCUGAGAACAGCAUUGGGGAAGAAGAGAUGAUGCAAGUUGAAGAUAAUAUGGAAUCAGAUGCAACAGAAACAAUCCACGGUGAAGACAUUAUCACAAACUCUAAAGAAGAUAAUACAAUUGCUGGCAAAGGAAAUAACUCCAACCAACAACUGCCCAUGACCUCCAAUUUGAAGAGAGUAAUGAGACGUAGGAGGCCCAUUGAGGAUCAGGAGGAACCAAGAGAAUUCAAUCCAAGGGAGCCACAAUAUCUGGACAUUGAGCCUGAACCUGAACCUGAACCAGAAAAGGUUGAUCUUAGGCAUCAAAUGAUGGAUGAAAGGAAAAAUGCAGAGGAGUGGAUGCUAGAUCAUGCAAUUCAACAAGCUGUCACUAAACUUGCGCCAGCUCGCAAGCGGAGAGUGGCACUACUGGUCGAAGCUUUUGAAGCAGUUAUCCCACCACCCAAAUGUGAAACCCGCCUGCCAAAUACCUCAGCAGCUUUUGCUCAUGCAAGGCGCAUACAAGCUUGUAACUAAUGGUAGUUAUUGAGUGCAGGACAUAACCACAAGAAGCAGAGUAGGUUGACAUACUGGGAUUGAUAACUACAAUUGUAGCUCAGGGGCCAGGGCUUAAAUCAGUACUACAAAGCCUAUGGAUUCACAGAACAACUAACUUGUUGUUCACUAGGGUGCAGUGGGAGAAGUGCACCUUGAUUGCAGGUCAUUCAAGAAGAAAGGACUCAAGUUGCCUGAGUGUCUUCCUAAUUGACUGUUGCAUUUACUUUCAUUUGGAAAGUCAGAUGAAUUGAAGUUUCCCAACAAAUGAAUACCAUGUUCUUUGGAACUUCUGUAUAUGAUGUCAUUAUGAAAUAUACUACUUGCAUCACUUGAUGAAA